GGAGUAUGGACCGUGUCUCAGUUCCAUUGUGACCGUUCAUCCUCUCAGACCGGCUACCGAUCGUCGCCUUGGUAGGCUCUUACCCCACCAACUAGCUAAUCGGACGCAGGCUCCUCGCAAAGCGAUAAAUCUUUAGUACAGAAUCCAUGCGAACUCCGCACAACAUCCGGUAUUAGCGUCACUUUCGCAACGUUGUCCCCGACUUUGCGGCAGAUUACCUGCGCUUUACUCACCCGUUCGCCACUAGCACCGAAGUGCCCGUUCGACUUGCAUGUGUUAAGCACGCCGCCAGCGUUCGUCCUCGAGCCACUGAUCAAACUCU
rnacentral:rRNA from 1 species